GGAAUCAGCUUGAAAUCUGCUUACAAUAUCUAAGACAUAAGCCAUAUCAGACUUGGUACACAGCAUAGCAUACAUUAUUGAUCCUAUAGCCGAAGCAUAAGAAAUAGAACCCAUUCUAUUUCUCUCUUCAGGCGUCUUAGGAGACAUCUUCCUAGAGAGUUGUAUGCCAUGACCCAUGGACAAAUAACCUUUUUUACUUCC
rnacentral:lncRNA from 1 species